GAUCAACUGAGUUUUGCAUAUACAUACUAUAAGUUGAGAAAGAUGAACCCAGACAAACCUUUUUAUCUCAACAUGUUCAAGGAUUGUGAAAGGCGAAAGAUAGCUAAGCUGUUCCGUCACAGAUCAGAUGAGCAGAGGAAUAUUCUCUCUCAAUCUGAGACAGAGUAAAAGCUGAGUGACUCCUGGUUUUGGCUGAUGAUUCAAUUUUUUUGUUAUACGCGUCACUAUAUUGUAGUUGCUUGCUGGAAAGAGGGUCAUCGUGCCAUAGCCAUUGUGAUUGUGUCUGUUGUACAUUACCAAAAUUCUCUAGAGAAAGCGAUACACAUGCCAGCCCUAUCGAUAUAAAGCAACGCAAGGUGGAUUCUGCUGGCUCAUCAUCUCAUCUUUCUGGUGCAAAGAACAUACUACCACCAUUACAGCUUCCAUUCUAUUAAUUUCAUUGCCUUGACCAACUCCUAGUGUUAAAGCAUCCUAUUAAUUUUCCAUUGUAUCUACAUGAGUUGGUGAAGAAAAU
rnacentral:misc_RNA from 1 species